AAGCAGAAGCAUAACCUGCUGCUUCUGGGCCCCGAUGCAAUGUCUAUAAUGGGGCCACUAUACUCCUUAUGUCCUAUUUAAAAUACAGCUGUCGUGAGGUAGCAAAGGUAUCAUUGGGCCCCCUGAGACACCAGGGCCCGAGUAUGACUGAGUACAAUGUAGGCUAUGGACACUUUUUAGCAUUUUAUGCUUGAUUUUGCCAAAAGUUCAGAUCGAAACAAAGCAAAUCCCCAGUUGUCAUGGAUUGUUAUAUGGAACGACGCGACCAAUGUACAGAAAUCAGAUGACAUCACUGCUGUACAGAUAUGUUAUGAGAUGACAUCACUACAUUACAGAUGGGAUGACAUCACUACUGUACAGAUAUGAGAUAUAAUGACAUCACUGCUCUCCAGGAUGAGAUGAAAUGACAUCACUGCUCUCUAGUAUGAGAUGAAAUGACAUCACUGCUCUCCAG